rnacentral:snRNA from 1 species
CGCAAUGUGAUUUCUGCCC